rnacentral:rRNA from 2 species
GAAAGCCUCAUGGAGCAACGCCGCGUGAGUGAAGAAGGCUUUCGGUUCGUAAAGCUCUGUUGUAAGGGAAGAACAAGUACCGGAGUAACUGCCGUUGCCUUGACGGUACCUUACCAGAAAGCCACGGCUAACUACGUGCCAGCAGCCGCGGUAAUACGUAGGUGGCAAGCGUUAUCCGGAAUUAUUGGGCUAAGCGCUCGCAGGUGGUCUCUUAAGUCUGAUGUGAAAGCCCACGGCUCAACCGUGGAGGGUCAUUGGAAACUGGGAGACUUGAGUGCAGAAGAGGAUAGUGGAAUUCCACGUGUAGCGGUGAAAUGCGUAGAGAUGUGGAGGAACACCAGUGGCGAAGGCGACUAUCUGGUCUGUAACUGACGCUGAGGAGCGAAAGCGUGGGGAGCAAACAGGAUUAGAUACCCUGGUAGUCCACGCCGUAAACGAUGAGUGCUAAGUGU